UAUACAUGCAGUCGAGCGGACAGAUGGGAGCUUGCUCCCUGAUGUUAGCGGCGGACGGGUGAGUAACACGUGGGUAACCUGCCUGUAAGACUGGGAUAACUCCGGGAAACCGGGGCUAAUACCGGAUGGUUGUUUGAACCGCAUGGUUCAGACAUAAAAGGUGGCUUCGGCUACCACUUACAGAUGGACCCGCGGCGCAUUAGCUAGUUGGUGAGGUAACGGCUCACCAAGGCGACGAUGCGUAGCCGACCUGAGAGGGUGAUCGGCCACACUGGGACUGAGACACGGCCCAGACUCCUACGGGAGGCAGCAGUAGGGAAUCUUCCGCAAUGGACGAAAGUCUGACGGAGCAACGCCGCGUGAGUGAUGAAGGUUUUCGGAUCGUAAAGCUCUGUUGUUAGGGAAGAACAAGUGCCGUUCAAAUAGGGCGGCACCUUGACGGUACCUAACCAGAAAGCCACGGCUAACUACGUGCCAGCAGCCGCGGUAAUACGUAGGUGGCAAGCGUUGUCCGGAAUUAUUGGGCGUAAAGGGCUCGCAGGCGGUUUCUUAAGUCUGAUGUGAAAGCCCCCGGCUCAACCGGGGAGGGUCAUUGGAAACUGGGGAACUUGAGUGCAGAAGAGGAGAGUGGAAUUCCACGUGUAGCGGUGAAAUGCGUAGAGAUGUGGAGGAACACCAGUGGCGAAGGCGACUCUCUGGUCUGUAACUGACGCUGAGGAGCGAA
rnacentral:rRNA from 1 species